rnacentral:rRNA from 1 species
AACGGCCGCGGUAUUUUGACCGUGCAAAGGUAGCAUAAUCAUUAGUCUUUUAAUAGAAGGCUGGCAUGAAUGGUUUGACGAGGUGCUGACUGUCUCAUUUAAUUUUUUAUUAGAAUUUAACUUUUUAGUCAAAAGGCUAAAAUAUAUUUGGAAGACGAGAAGACCCUAUAGAGCUUUAUAAUACUUAUAUUAAUCAGAUUUAGUUUAAUUUCUUUGGUUAUUAUUCUUAUUAUUUUGUUGGGGUGACAAAAAUAUAUAACUAACUUUUUUAUUUAUAUUACAUUAAUUUAUGAAUUAUAGGAUCCAUUAUUAUUGAUUAUUAGACUAAGUUACCUUAGGGAUAACAGCGUAAUCUUCUUUCAGAGUUCAAAUUUACAAGAAGGCUUGCGACCUCGAUGUUGGAUUAAGAUUAUAAUUAGGUGUAGCCGCUUAAUUUAUAGGUCUGUUCGA